GCUCUCUUGGGCAGCACAUAAAAUAACCACAAUACCGAGAAGAUUCGCAUGGCCCUUGCGAAGGAAUGACAAGCAAAUUCGUGAAGCAUUCCAUAUUGAA
rnacentral:snRNA from 1 species